GCCAGGCAUGGUGGCAUGUACCUAUGGUCCCAGCUACUUCGGAGGCUGAAGCAGGAGGAUCAUUUGAGUCCAGGAGUUCUGGGCUGUAAUGCAUUGUGCUAAUCAGGUGUCCACACUAAGUUUGGCAUCAAUAUGGUGACCUUCUGGGAGCAGGGGAUCACCAAGUUACCUAAGAGGGGUGAACUGGCCCAGGUCAGAAAUGGAGCAGGUCAAAACUCCUGUGCUGCAGCCUGGUCAACAUGGUGAAACUCUGUCUCUACUAAAAAUACAAAAAUUAGCUGGGCGUGGUGGCGGGCACCUGUAAUCCCAGC
rnacentral:SRP_RNA from 10 species